UACGGAGGGUGCAAGCGUUAUCCGGAUUCACUGGGUUUAAAGGGUGCGUAGGUGGGUUGGUAAGUCAGUGGUGAAAUCUCCAAGCUUAACUUGGAAACUGCCGUUGAUACUAUCAAUCUUGAAUCUCGUGGAGGUAAGCGGAAUAUGUCAUGUAGCGGUGAAAUGCUUAGAUGUGACAUAGAACACCGAUAGCGAAGGCAGCUUGCUACACAAGUAUUGACACUGAGGCACGAAAGCGUGGGGAUCAAACAGG
rnacentral:rRNA from 1 species